AGUAAGGGGGUUAUGGAAGGAUUUCAUAGCCGCAGGAAUGUGCUUUCAUCUGGACAACAUGCGCAUUGUGAACUGGGACGUUGUCUUGGAGGAGGUGGACAGCUUUGGUCAGCAUGCCACGCCUCUCUGCCUUGAUGGUGUCCUGAAAUUUCAGCAGCAGAGAAGCAUAAUUGUAGUGCCCUUUGCCAGAAAAUCAAUCAUCACUACUCCCCGCUGGUCCCAAAACACUGUGAGCAUC